GACGUAGGAGGCGAGCGUUGUCCGGAUUCAUUGGGCGUAAAGAGCGCGCAGGCGGCUUGGUAAGUCGGAUGUGAAAUCCCGAGGCUCAACCUCGGGUCUGCAUCCGAUACUGCCCGGCUAGAGGUAGGUAGGGGAGAUCGGAAUUCCUGGUGUAGCGGUGAAAUGCGCAGAUAUCAGGAGGAACACCGGUGGCGAAGGUGGAUCUCUGGGCCUUACCUGACGCUCAGGCGCGAAAGCUAGGGGAGCGAACAGG
rnacentral:rRNA from 1 species